AAUAUUGCGCAAUGGAGGGAACUCUGACGCAGCGACGCCGCGUGAGCGAUGAAGGUUUUCGCAUCGUAAAGCUCUGUCCUUGGGGAAGAAGGUCUUCGGACUUGACGGUACCUAAGGAGGAAGCCUCGGCUAACUACGUGCCAGCAGCAGCGGCAAUACGUAGGGGGCAAGCGUUGUCCGGAAUUAUUGGGCGUAAAGGGUGCGUAGGCGGCUUUUUAAUUCAGAUGUGAAAGGCCACAGCUUAACUGUGGGGUUGCAUUUGAAACUGGAGAGCUUGAGUAUCGGAGGGGGUAGUGGAAUUCCUGGAGUAGCGGUGAAAUGCGUAGAUAUCAGGAGGAACACCAGUGGCGAAGGCGACUACCUGGACGAAAACUGACGCUGAGGCACGAAAGCUAGGGGAGCAAACA
rnacentral:rRNA from 1 species